GGGACCCGCACAAGCGGUGGAUGAUGUGGAUUAAUUCGAUGCAACGCGAAGAACCUUACCUACCCUUGACAUGUCCGGAACUUGCCAGAGAUGGCUUGGUGCCCGAAAGGGAAUCGGAACACAGGUGCUGCAUGGCUGUCGUCAGCUCGUGUCGUGAGAUGUUGGGUUAAGUCCCGCAACGAGCGCAACCCUUAUCAUUAGUUGCUACGCAAGGGCACUCUAAUGAGACUGCCGGUGACAAACCGGAGGAAGGUGGGGAUGACGUCAAGUCCUCAUGGCCCUUAUGGGUAGGGCUUCACACGUCAUACAAUGGUCGGUACAGAGGGUUGCCAAGCCGCGAGGCGGAGCCAAUCCCACAAAGCCGAUCGUAGUCCGGAUUGUUCUCUGCAACUCGAGAGCAUGAAGUCGGAAUCGCUAGUAAUCGCAGGUCAGCAUACUGCGGUGAAUACGUUCCCGGGUCUU
rnacentral:rRNA from 1 species